AGUGAACGCUGGCGGUAGGCCUAACACAUGCAAGUCGAACGGCAGCACAGUAAGAGCUUGCUCUUACGGGUGGCGAGUGGCGGACGGGUGAGGAAUACAUCGGAAUCUACUUUUUCGUGGGGGAUAACGUAGGGAAACUUACGCUAAUACCGCAUACGACCUACGGGUGAAAGCAGGGGAUCUUCGGACCUUGCGCGAUUGAAUGCGCCGAUGUCGGAUUAGCUAGUUGGCGGGGUAAAGGCCCACCAAGGCGACGAUCCGUAGCUGGUCUGAGAGGAUGAUCAGCCACACUGGAACUGAGACACGGUCCAGACUCCUACGGGAGGCAGCAGUGGGGAAUAUUGGGCAAUGGGCGCAAGCCUGAUCCAGCCAUACCGCGUGGGUGAAGAAGGCCUUCGGGUUGUAAAGCCCUUUUGUUGGGAAAGAAAAGCAGCAGGUUAAUACCCCGCUGUUCUGACGGUACCCAAAGAAUAAGCACCGGCUAACUUCGUG
rnacentral:rRNA from 1 species